ACGAACGCUGGCGGCGCGCCUAACACAUGCAAGUCGAACGGGGUUAUACUGGAUGAAGUUUUCGGAUGGAAUUCUAUAUAACCUAGUGGCGGACGGGUGAGUAACACGUGAGCAACCUGCCUAUCAGAGGGGGAUAACGAUUGGAAACGAUCGCUAAUACCGCAUGACAUAGCGAAACCGCAUGGUUUUGCUAUCAAAGAUUUAUCGCUGAUAGAUGGGCUCGCGUCCGAUUAGAUAGUUGGUGAGGUAACGGCUCACCAAGUCGACGAUCGGUAGCCGGACUGAGAGGUCGAACGGCCACAUUGGGACUGAGACACGGCCCAGACUCCUACGGGAGGCAGCAGUGGGGGAUAUUGCACAAUGGGGGAAACCCUGAUGCAGCGACGCCGCGUGAGGGAAGACGGUCCUCUGGAUUGUAAACCUCUGUCUUCGGGGACGAAACGAGACGGUACCCGAGGAGGAAGCCACGGCUAACUACGUGCCAGCAGCCGCGGUAAUACGUAGGGGGCAAGCGUUGUCCGGAAUGAUUGGGCGUAAAGGGCGCGUAGGCGGCCAACUAAGUCUGAAGUGAAAC
rnacentral:rRNA from 1 species